AAGGUACUCCCUCCGUUCCAAAUUAGUUGUCUUGAAUUUAUCUUGAUGCGGAUGUAACUAACACUAAAACAUGUCUAGAUACAUCCGUAUCUAGAUAAAUCUGAGUCAAUUAAUUUGGAACGGAGGGAGUACGAA
rfam:Triticum aestivum genome assembly, contig: Triticum_aestivum_CS42_TGACv1_scaffold_031305_1BL